CCUGAACAUGUUGAUGUAGCUUGGACUUUACACAAUCUUGGUAAUUUGUACCUUCGUACUAAAGAAUUUGACAAAGCAAGAGAAUUUCACGAAAAAGCGCAGGCAACUCGAAAAAAAUCAGUUGCUUCGGAUCAUAUUGUUGUUACUGAAUCUUCGAACAGUAUUGAAAUUAACGAAAUUCUGCUAGAGAUUUCCCAAGAAAUUCCCGGUAAAUGGAAAAAAUUGGCAAUAUUUCUGAAGGUCAGAGAUGCGACAAUAGAAAGAAUUGAUCUAAAUCAUCGUGACGUGAGCUGGCAAGGGUUUGAAAUGCUAAAGUUUUGGUUUGAAUCACGAGAAAAUAAGCAGUUGUGGUACGAAGAACUUGCCGCUGCUUUACGCAAGAUCGAGAAAAAUCGUUUGGCUGAAGACGUUCUUCAUAAAGGUGCAAAUGUUGCUAAAAGUUGUUAAACUGAAAUUCAAAGGUCAUUUGCCCAUUUUUUAUAAUCGCCAUUUUUAUGUAAAACUCAGAAGCUAACAUUGGAUUGGUUUUAUUGAUUUACGCUUUUAUAAUAUACAUGAAAAAAUUUCUCAGUUCUCAUUGGUUAAUUAAGAGCAGUGCAAUUUAUUGUAAAUACCAGUGGAAAAAAUUAAGAAACACGGUGCCGAAAAAAGGAAAUACAGUGCAUUUUCUUUUAAAUAAAUUUGCUCCUGACUGGUUAAUCAAACAAAGAAUUGAUCUAAGAGCCAAACAAUCUAAAACAUUUCCAAGGCAUGAAAGUUAAACUAAAGUAAACGAAGCAAAUGCAAUGGUUGGCGCAAGCUUAAGUAUAUUUUUUUUGGUGAAUGACCUUACAAUUCGCACUGAACCAAAAAUGAACACUGCCAAAAGUAGUUACCUUGUUCUAACUGCGUGUGUGAAAGCUAUGGUGUUAUGAAAAGUAAUAUUCAAUAGAAUUGUUAUAUACGAGCCAGCCGGAAUUGAGAAAUUUUUUCAUGUAUAUUAAGUCCUUAAUAACUGACCUCGAGGUCUUUACGGACGGACAGAGUUCUUUUUGCACCAACCAAGCCGUGGUAAAGUAAAGAUCGAGAAAGCGAGGUUAUUAAAAUAUUUAUUAUGUACGGCAUUAUUUGACCUGAAACAAAGCUUGCUUUCUUUCUUGUCCUGGCUGUUUUGUUACGGUUGACUUUCAUCUUUCUAUUUUUUGUCAGUAAAAAUAAAUCAUUUUUAGUUUUGUAUCGUCUGCAUAAUUAAACUAUUUUCCGAGAGUUUUUCUUUUUACUUACAUUCGUAAUUAGUUUUUGUUUCGUUUCUUUUCGUUUUGCUUUUUUUUCAAGAACUUUGUUUACAUUUUACAUUUGACUAUAAAAUUACGCAUUUUGGACUGUGUAACAUUCUUUAUUUUUCUUGAUACGUCUCUGACUCUGCCAGUCAGACUACUACUUAUGUACACGACUAUGGUUUUCUUAUAUAGAUAAGAAAUAGCAUAAAUAUAUAUUAAUCAUGUUUUAUAUCAAUAUAUUACAAAACUCUUUUUUAAAACUAGUAUCCUUGUAUUUAUCUGUCUGAUAUUUCUAUUAAUUUCUUUCUAGUUUAAAUAAACUAUUAACUAACUAUUCCCUAUGUAAUGUAACAAAUGUUCCGAUUUUAUAAAUGUUUAUAUUAAAGGUUAAACAUAGUCUUUUCA